AACAUUCCUUGUGUCUGUGGUGUGUCUCAGUUCAUUGGUGGUGGAGAGACAGCCCUGUAUGCCCACACAUCCACAGAGACCCCUGGUGCUGAAGACACAGGUGCAAUUCACUGUCAAGCUCAGAUUUCUUGUGAAGCUCCAGGAAUUCAACUAUCAACUCAAAGUGAAAGCUUUGUUUGACAAGGACGUUACAAAGAAAGGGUUUCGUAAGUUCAACAU